GACAGAGGAUGCAAGCGUUAUCCGGAAUGAUUGGGCGUAAAGGCGUCUGUAGGUGGCUUUUUAAGUCUGCCGUCAAAUCCCAGGGCUUAACCCUGGACAGGCGGUGGAAACUACCAAGCUGGAGUACGGUAGGGGCAGGGGGAAUUUCCGGUGGAGCGGGUGAAAUGCUGUAGAGAUCGGAAAGAACACCAACGGCGAAAGCACUCUGCUGGGCCGACACUGACACUGAGAGACGAAAGCUAGGGGAGCGAAUGGG
rnacentral:rRNA from 1 species